UUGGAGGGCAAGUCUGGUGCCAGCAGCCGCGGUAAUUCCAGCUCCAAUAGCGUAUAUUAAAGUUGUUGCAGUUAAAAAGCUCGUAGUUGAAACUUGGGCCUGGCUGGCAGGUCCGCCUCACCGCGUGUACUUGUCCGGCCGGGCCUUUCCUUCUGGAGAACCUCAUGCCCUUCACUGGGUGUGUUGGGGAACCAGGCCUUUUACUUUGAAAAAAUUAGAGUGUUCAAAGCAGGCCUUUGCUCGAAUACGUUAGCAUGGAAUAAUAGAAUAGGACGUGCGGUCCUAUUUUGUUGGUUUCUA
rnacentral:rRNA from 1 species